rnacentral:rRNA from 1 species
CGUAGGGGGCAAGCGUUGUCCGGAUUUAUUGGGCGUAAAGAGCGUGUAGGCGGCCAGGCAGGUCCGUUGUGAAAACUCGAGGCUCAACCUCGAGACGUCGAUGGAAACCGUCUGGCUAGAGUCCGGAAGAGGAGAGUGGAAUUCCUGGUGUAGCGGUGAAAUGCGCAGAUAUCAGGAAGAACACCUAUGGCGAAGGCAGCUCUCUGGGACGGUACUGACGCUGAGACGCGAAAGCGUGGGGAGCGAACAGGAUUAGAUACCCUGGUAGUCCACGCCGUAAACGAUGGGCGCUAGGUGUGGGGGGUGUCGACUCCCUCCGUGCCGAAGCUAACGCAUUAAGCGCCCCGCCUGGGGAGUACGGCCGCAAGGCUA